AGGAGGCGUGAUGAGAAUAACCCAUCGUUGCCGCAUUUGAAUGAUGAAUAACAACAAGCACUACCAUCUGAUCUCUU